CAGCCGCCGCGGGAAUACGAAGGGGGCUAGCGUUGUUCGGAAUGACUGGGCGUAAAGCGCACGUAGGCUGCUUUGUAAGUCAGAGGCGAAAGCCCGGGGCUCAACCCCGGAUGUGCCUUUGAGACUGCAGGGCUAGAACGUCGGAGAGGUGAGUGGAAUUCCGAGUGUAGAGGUGAAAUUCGUAGAUAUUCGGAAGAACACCAGUGGCGAAGGCGGCUCACUGGACGACUGUUGACGCUGAGGUGCGAAAGCGUGGGGAGCAAACAGGAUUAGAUACCCCUGUAGUCCCUGUCUCUUAUAC
rnacentral:rRNA from 1 species